rnacentral:rRNA from 1 species
UACAGAGGUCCCGAGCGUUGUUCGGAUUCACUGGGCGUAAAGGGUGCGUAGGUGGUGAGGUAAGUCGGAUGUGAAAUCUCCGGGCUCAACCCGGAAACUGCAUUGGAAACUACCUUGCUUGAGGGUUUGAGGGGGGACUGGAAUUCUCGGUGUAGCAGUGAAAUGCGUAGAUAUCGAGAGGAACACCAGUGGCGAAGGCGGCUCACUGGCCCGUAACUGACGCUGAGGUGCGAAAGCGUGGGGAGCAAACAGG